UCCGCAUGGUAUAUGUGCAUGGCUCAGACUGCUUGAGGUGAAUCCUGCGAUCAGACUCAAAGUCGACAAUUCCAGCUUCUUCCGUUGUAAUCUUGGAUUCUGCAUUAGAGAAUUUGCAGUGGCCGUAAGGCCAGCGGAACAACAAAAGCCACGAGCAAGACUAUUAUCUGUCGUGAAGUCAAAGACUGGUAAUUUAGGCUAUGGCUUACAGAAAAUUUGUACCAAAUGAAGCAAAUAUUGUCGACCCAGGAGACACUUAGGUCUGAGCUACUUGCCCCAUUGACGACGUCUUUAGUAAUCUGAGAAA